GGUGGGGUUGGAGAGUGGUCAAAUCCAACGGAUUGUAAAUCCGUCGCCUUAGGCUUCGAAGGUUCAAGUCCUUCUCCCACCACCA
rnacentral:tRNA from 1 species